CCCAGAGACUCUAGCACUGGCCUGAACCGUGUGGGCUUCUCUGUUGUACCUGAUUCUGAUGCUAUCUGAUUUGGACAUCUGCCAUCUCAUCUCUCGGCACAAGCAGUAGAGCUCAUUUUUACUAAACAGAAGGAU